UGUGGGAGGGGGCUUGCUCCCGAUAGCGGUGUGUCAGCCUCCAUUGUAUUCACUGAACCACUGCCAUCGGGAGCAAGCCCCCUCCCACA
rnacentral:misc_RNA from 1 species